GGUCCGUUCGAUUAGUGGCAGGUCGCAGCCUUCUCAAGGCUGUCGCGCGGGUUCGAUUCCCGCACGGACCAC
rnacentral:tRNA from 1 species